CUGCCAUUUAGGAGUUAAAUCCCUUUGUUUAUGAACCCUAGUCACACCUCCCUGCAUGUGACUUGCACAGCCUUCCAUAAACACUUCCUGUAAAGAGAGCCCUAUUUAGGCUUUCUUUAUUGCAAGUUCUGUUUAAUUAAGAUUUUCUUAUCCCCUGCUAUGUUAAUAGCUUGCUAGACCCUGCAAGAGCCUCCUGUAUGUGAUUAAAGUUCAAUUUAGAGAUUGAGAUACAAUUAUUUAAGGUAAAUUACAUCUGUUUGAAAGUGAAACCAGUUUUUUUUUUUUUUCAUGCAGGCUCUGUCAAUCAUAGCCAGGGGAGGUGUGGCUAGGGCUGCAUAAACAGAAACAAAGUGAUUUAACUCCCAAAUGACAGUGAAUUGAGCAGUGAAAUUGCAGGGGAAUGAUCUAUACACUAAAACUGCUUUAUUUAGCUAAAGUAAUUUAGGGGACUAUAGUGUUCCUUUAAA